rnacentral:rRNA from 1 species
AUUGAACGCUGGCGGAAUGCUUUACACAUGCAAGUCGAACGGCAGCACGGACUUCGGUCUGGUGGCGAGUGGCGAACGGGUGAGUAAUGUAUCGGAACGUGCCGAGUCGUGGGGGAUAACGUAGUGAAAAUUACGCUAAUACCGCAUACGAUCUAUGGAUGAAAGCGGGGGAUCGCAAGACCUCGCGCGAUUGGAGCGGCCGAUAACAGAUUAGGUAGUUGGUGGGGUAAAGGCCCACCAAGCCAACGAUCUGUAGCUGGUCUGAGAGGACGACCAGCCACACUGGAACUGAGACGCGGUCCAGACUCCUACGGGAGGCAGCAGUGGGGAAUUUUGGACAAUGGGCGAAAGCCUGAUCCAGCCAUUCCGCGUGCAGGAUGAAAGCCCUCGGGUUGUAAACUUCUUUUGUACAGAGCGAAAAGGUUUCUACUAAUACUAGGAGCUCAUGACGGUACUGUAAGAAUAAGCACCGGCUAACUACGUGCCAGCCGCCGCUGUAA